rnacentral:rRNA from 1 species
AUUGAACGCUGGCGGCAUGCCUUACACAUGCAAGUCGAACGGUAACGGGCCUUCGGGUGCCGACGAGUGGCGAACGGGUGAGUAAUACAUCGGAACGUGCCCGAUCGUGGGGGAUAACGAGGCGAAAGCUUUGCUAAUACCGCAUACGAUCUACGGAUGAAAGCAGGGGACCGCAAGGCCUUGCGCGGACGGAGCGGCCGAUGGCAGAUUAGGUAGUUGGUGGAUAAAAGCUUACCAAGCCGACGAUCUGUAGCUGGUCUGAGAGGAUGAUCAGCAACACUGGGACGGGGACACGGCCCAGACUCCUACGGGAGUCAGCAGUGGGGAAUUUUGGACAAUGGGCGCAAGCCUGAUCCAGCCAUGCCGCGUGCAGGAUGAAGGCCUUCGGGUUGUAAACUGCUUUUGUACGGAACGAAAAGCCUUCUUCUAAUACAGGAGGGUCAUGACGGUACCGUAAGAAUAAGCACCGGCUAACUACGUGCCAGCAGCCGCCGUAA